rnacentral:rRNA from 1 species
AUUGAACGCUGGCGGCAUGCCUUACACAUGCAAGUCGAACGGCAGCAUGAUCUAGCUUGCUAGAUUGAUGGCGAGUGGCGAACGGGUGAGUAAUACAUCGGAACGUGCCCUGUAGUGGGGGAUAACUAGUCGAAAGAUUAGCUAAUACCGCAUACGACCUGAGGGUGAAAGUGGGGGACCGCAAGGCCUCAUGCUAUAGGAGCGGCCGAUGUCUGAUUAGCUAGUUGGUGAGGUAAAGGCUCACCAAGGCGACGAUCAGUAGCUGGUCUGAGAGGACGAUCAGCCACACUGGGACUGAGACACGGCCCAGACUCCUACGGGAGGCAGCAGUGGGGAAUUUUGCACAAUGGGCGAAAGCCUGAUCCAGCAAUGCCGCGUGUGUGAAGAAGGCCUUCGGGUUGUAAAGCACUUUUGUCCGGAAAGAAAAGGCGCUGGUUAAUAUCUGGGGUCCUUGACGGUACCGGAAGAAUAAGGACCGGCUAACUACGUG